GUCCUGUUGAAAGCUUCCUGGGUCAGGUUGGGAUUGGGUUGAGUGUAGGUGCCUGAGGGUGAUUUCUGGGAUCUACUUUUUGUAGAUAAGAGGUUUUAGAGCUGGAAGGGAUUUUAGAGACCUCUUUAAUGAGGAUGUUGAGGACAACAAAGGAAAAAUAAAUUACCUAAAACCACACAGCUAAUGAGACCGGAAGCGGGGACAGGGGUCUUCUGACUCCUAAGAUGGCUGUCCACCAGGCCCCCUUCACGGUGCUGUUCCUUGGCUUUCGUGGCGACAGAAUCGGGUAAAGGGUGGAAAAAGGAGCCAACUUUUCUGGAGACUCAGGACCCAUUUGGCAGAGAAGCACAUAGAAAAGCCAGAGAAUGCAGCCUGGAGAGAUGGAAGAUGCCAGUCAGGUCUCACUAGUGUCUAGGAAUGGAAGGUUUUCUCAGCAUCCAAUACCGACUGGAAGAAGCUCCUGCCAGCCAUGUAAGAAGGACAAUGUCAGGCUCUAAUCAGGGAGAGCCUUGGAGAGCUGAGGAGAUUCCCCAAUUUCUUCCUGCUCAUCAUUUUCAGUCCCUGACGUCCAUUUCCACAGAGGAAUUAGCAGUAAGUUCUCUAAAAGGGGAGCUGAUUGCUGAUUUGCUUGUUUUAAGGGAUGAGGUAGAAGAGAGGAGUUGGGGAGACUUUGCUUUUCCCAAGAGCUGGUCACAGGAGAAGAAAGUGCUCUUUGUUGGUUGUAGCAGCUCUGGACUGGAAAGAAAAGCAGGUCAAACACCUGGGCCUGUGUACUGGGCACUGUGCCAUCCUCCUGGGAGGAUAGGUGUGGUGGGGGGGGGGGCGGGCACAGGCAGGUGGCAUAGACACUGA
rnacentral:lncRNA from 1 species